UACGGGGGGGGCGUGCGUUAUUCAAUCAAACUGGGCGUAAAGCGUUUUUAGGUGGAAUUGAGAGAGUUAACGACUAAAUUUCAUUAGAUAACUAUGAAAUGUGCGUUAAUACCAACUUUCUUUGAGUUAAAGCCGGAUGAGUAUUAUUUUUUAAAUAGAGUUAUAAUUCUUAGAAAAAAGAAGGGGGGCCAUAGGUGAAAACAACUCAUCAGGCUUAACUGACAUCCAAAAACUAAAGUAUGGGGAGCAAUUGGG
rnacentral:rRNA from 1 species